rnacentral:rRNA from 1 species
GCAAUACGAGAGUGAACUGCGAAUGGCUCAUUAUAUAAGUUAUCGUUUAUUUGAUAGUGCCUAUCCUACACGGAUAACAGUGGUAAUUCUAGAGCUAAUACGUGCCAAAAGCCCCGACUUCGGGAGGGGCGUGCUUGUCAGAGUCAGAACCAAUGCCCUCGUGGCUCCCUGGUGGAUCAUGACAAUCCUACAGAGCGCAUGGCCUCGCGCCGGCGCCGGCUCAUUCAAAUUUCUUCCCUAUCAACUUUCGACGGUACGGUCUUGGCCUACCGUGGUUACAACGGGUAACGGAGGGUUAGGGCUCGACCCCGGAGAGGGAGCCUGAGAUACGGCUACCACAUCCAAGGAAGGCAGCAGCCGCGCAAAUUAUCCAAUCCCGACACGGGGAGAUAGUGACAAUAAAUACCGAUACAGGGCUCUUUUGGGCCCCGUAAUUGGAAUGAGUACAAUUUAAACCUCUUAACGAGGAACAAUUGGAGGGCAAGUCUGGUGGACUCCCAGUCCCAUACUGGCGCCAGAGAGAGCGGUACGCCCCGCUAGUCGAGCACCCCAACCGUAGCGGGCGGGUGCCGGCGAGACAACCUGGAUCGGGGAAAGCUAAGGGACCGAGUGUCCUACGCUGAUCCCGAGCGGAGCCGCCGGGGGGUAACUCCCGGCGCGCCCGUGUAGAGCGCGCAAAGGUGUCGGUCGGUCGCUUCGGGCGGCCGGCUUAAGGUACGUGCCAAACCCCGCGAAAGCGGGACCCUGACGGGAGCGCCCGCUACGCCAUCGUCAGGGAGCUGGCGGCAGCGUCAAGCUGCCGCCAGUGGGAUCCCAUUGCCGGGAUCGCUACUAGGAGUACGGAUCCUUGGGCUCGUAUUCCGAGCCUGGCGGACGUUCUUUCAGCUAGUAGUGGUUCCGCGUUCUGGGAGUUAAAAGGCCAGCAGCCGCGGUAAUUCCAGCUCCAAUAGCGUAUAUUAAAGUUGUUGUGGUUAAAAAGCUCGUAGUCGAACCUCGGGCUCGGCCGGUCGGUCCGCCUCACCGCGUGCACUGGCCCGGCCGGGCCCUUCCCUCUGCGGAGCCGCAUGUCCUUCACUGGGCGUGCCGGGGAAGCAGGACUUUUACUUUGAAAAAAUUAGAGUGCUCAAGGCAGGCCGAUGCUCGGAUACAUUAGCAUGGAAUAAUGGAAUAGGACGUUGGUUCUAUUUUGUUGGUUUCUAGGACCGCCGUAAUGAUCAAUAGGGACGGUCGGGGGCGUCAGUAUUCAGCCGCGAGAGGUGAAAUUCUUAGACCGGCUGAAGACUAACUACUGCGAAAGCAUUCGCCAAGGACGUUUUCGCUGAUCAGGAACGAAAGUUAGGGGAUCGAAGACGAUCAGAUACCGUCGUAGUCUUAACCAUAAACGGUGCCGACUUGGGAUCGGGCGCUGCUGAACUUACGGCGCGCUCGGCACCAUUCGAGAAAUCAAAGUGCG